rnacentral:lncRNA from 1 species
UCUUUUGCUAUCCACAUGUUAAUAAAACCAGCAACAAGCAAACCCUCUGGUCUUGAUCACUCUUCAUUAUCACGAUUGACUAGAAUUUUAGAAGCAUUUUUAAUUCUCAAGAUGUGUUAGGCAUUCAGAUGAGCACUGGCUCAUAACUCACAGAUAAAAAAGAAAUUGGCUACACAAAAAGAAUACAUUGUGCAAAUAUAAAUGUUAAUAAAAAUGGACAAGAAGACCACUUCACCGUC